rnacentral:rRNA from 1 species
UACGUAGGGGGCAAGCGUUGUCCGGAUUUAUUGGGCGUAAAGAGCGUGUAGGCGGCCAGACAGGUCCGUUGUGAAAACUCGAGGCUCAACCUCGAGAUGUCGAUGGAAACCGUCUGGCUAGAGUCCGGAAGAGGAGUGUGGAAUUCCUGGUGUAGCGGUGAAAUGCGCAGAUAUCAGGAAGAACACCUAUGGCGAAGGCAGCACUCUGGGACGGUACUGACGCUGAGACGCGAAAGCGUGGGGAGCGAACAGGG